rnacentral:rRNA from 1 species
UACGUAGGGACCAAGCGUUGUUCGGAUUUACUGGGCGUAAAGGGCGCGUAGGCGGCAAUUCAAGUCGGCUGUGAAAUCUCCGGGCUUAACUCGGAACGGUCAGCUGAUACUGUUUUGCUAGAGUGCAGAAGGGGCAAUCGGAAUUCUCGGUGUAGCGGUGAAAUGCGUAGAUAUCGAGAGGAACACCUGAGGUGAAGACGGGUUGCUGGGCUGACACUGACGCUGAUGCGCGAAAGCCAGGGUAGCAAACGGG